rnacentral:lncRNA from 1 species
CUCGAUCUAUGAAGACAUACCACUUAGUCUUGCAGAAUCUCAAUCCAAGCUUCAACUAGAGAGAAAGCAACUCACUUGCCGAAACCUACACUUGUAGUAAAACAUGAAGAAAAUAUGGAUUAGCACAAUUAAGUACUAAGUAUGAUAGCCAUGCAAAAGCAUGCUUAAAACGGACAAUUUAUUUGAAAGUCAUACUUUUAUGCCAUUUUGAUAAAACUCCAUGAACAUAAGUAUAAGAGGCAUAAUAUUCAAGCAUAACCAACAUACAAGUCAUUUCAUCACGAUAGAGACAUAAUCAACAUAUAAGCCAUUACCUUCACCUCAAGUAACCCUCAAGCAAUACCUUGUGCAAACUACAAUGUAUGGAUAACGUCUCAUACCACCAUCCACACUAAAGUACCACCUUAAGGUCACCAAAAUUGAACUUACCAUUCAACCUUUCCAUCUUUAAACAAUACUCAUACAUAAGAUACAUAAGCAUUUCAUAAGUCAUAUCAUCACAUAAGGACCAUCAUCUAGGGCAAAUCUAAGUCAUAUUUGUGCAAUGUACAAGUAGCAUCUCAUACUACUACUCACACUAAGUACUCAUUAGAAGCCACCACUACUCACACUACGUAUUCAUUUGAAGCCACCAUAGAUAAGGCACAUUCAUACUCAAUAGUCAUGACAAGGAAGUAACUCAUAAUACAAUCCAAGUAUAGCAUACAUUAUCUCAUUUAAGCAUAUAAGAGUCAACAUUCUUCAUUAGCUUCAUUUAGGACACAUUCAUACAUGUAACGACCAUUUUGGUCCUUUUGAGUACUAGAGAUUUUUAUUUCAUAAAAUACUUUCCGAUAGAUUCUAAAUGAGUAUUUUGGACUAUUCGUAACUACAUUUAUGAAUUUAGUGGGGUAGUUUUAGUAAUUAAUUUAGUUGGUGGUUAAGGAAAAUAACAUUAGAAUUAAUAGUGGACCACUUUUACCACUCCCAUAAUUAGGCUUAAUAAUAAUUGGGGAUUUCCAUCGUGAGUUAGAAACUCAAUAGAACUUCAAAUACAGCGAUACAAUUUGCAGAGAGGCCGACGAGUACUUCAGGUAAAUCCAAUAUCCAAUAUGUAUUUGGUGUAUCAGAAUUGAUGCAUUAACACUGUUCGAGUUUGAAACAAUGGAAGCCUUGACUACAAUCAGUAAAGAAGCAGAGUAGAAAAGAUAACUUGUAACUUGUAGAAUGCAAAGCUUGAAUGAUUCUAUUUCAUCAGUGAAGUAUAUAUACACAUCAGCUGGAAGCUUCUAGACUAUUACACUUUGAGCUAACUAACUAUACACAUUGAAUACAUGAGCUAACUAACUCUCUAACCAAUUCUAUAACUAACUAUGUGAGCUGUACAAUGCAAUACGUGAGCUGUGCAAUAUAAUACUUAAUACCCCCCCUCAAGUUGGAGGUGAAGAUAACACUGCCAACUUGUCAAGGAUAGAAGAGUGCUUGAUUCCUGUUAAGGCUUUGGUCAAUAUGUCAGCCAACUGGUCUUGUGUAGCAAUAUGAUGCAAUGAGAUAAGUCCUUGUUGUAAGACAUGUCUCACAAAGUGACAGUCUACCUCGAUGUGUUUGGUCCUUUCGUGAAAAACAGGAUUCUUGGCAAUGUGUAGUGCAGACUGACUAUCACAAAAAACCGAAAUAGGCUUUGGAUAGGGAACACCCAACUCAGUAAGCAGUCGACUUAGCCAAACCAAUUCACCUACUACUUUCCUGAGUGAUCUGUAUUCAGCCUCUGCUGAUGAUAGAGAGAUGGUUUCUUGCUUCUUUGACUUCCAGCUUAUUGGACUGCCCCCAAGCAAUACUAUAAAUCCACUCACAGACUUCCUGGAAUCUGGACAUGAGGCCCAAUCUGAAUCACAAUAGCCUUUCAUAGAAAAAUCUGCAUCUUUGGACAAAAACAAACCCAAUGUAGGAUCAGACUUCAAGUAUCUUAAGAGGCGAAAAACAGCCUGCAAGUGUGGCUCUCUAGGGUCCUGCAUAAACUGGCUUAAGUGUUGAACACUAAAAGCAAUAUCCAACUUUGUGUUUGUAAGGAAGUUAAGUUUUCCAACUAACUUUCUGUAGAAAGUACUAUCACUUAAAACUGGACCUUCCUUAGCUCUCAGCUUGGUAUUGGGAUCAAGAGGGGAAGAUAAGGAGCUCAGAUGCAAACAAUCAUACUCCUUUAGUAAGUCAAGCACAAAUUUUCUUUGUGAGACAAUAAUUCCCUGAUCUGUGUGAAGUACCUCCAUUCCCAAAAAUAGUGAAGUAAUCCCAAAUCCUUAAUUUUGAAUUUGUUGUUUAGAUAAACUUUCAGGUCUGCUAUCUCAUCAGCAUCAGUACCUGUAAGAACUAUAUCAUCAACAUACACAGCUACAUAAACUGCUGAAUUUGCUUUCUUCUUAUAGAAGAGAGAAUAGUCAUACAUAGAGUGAGCAUAUCCCCUAGAACAUAAAGCUUCAGUGAGCUUAGCAUACCAUUGCCUACUAGCCUUCUUGAGUCCAUAAAGGGACUUGUUCAACUUGCAUACCAAAUUAGGAGACUGGACAGCAAGUCCAGGUGGUACGUCCAUGUACACUUCCUCAUGUAGAUCACCAUGAAGGAAGGCAUUAUUUAUGUCCAGUUGAUACAUAGUCCACCCUUGUUUAACUGCUGUGAUUAAUAAGGCCCUGACUGUGGUCAUUUUCACUACAGGGGAAAAAGUUUCAGUAUAAUCAAUGCAUGCUUGCUGUGUAUAACCCUUGACAACAAGUCUGGCCUUGAGCCUUUCUAUGCUCCCAUCUGCCUUGUGCUUCACCUUGUAGACCCACCGGCAGCCUAUAGCUUUCUUUCCAGGGGGAAGGGGAACUAAAUCCCAAGUGCAAUUUGAGUGCAAGGCAUCAAACUCCUGUGUCAUGGCGAGCUGCCAUGCAGGAUCGAUGACAGCUUCCUCAUAUGAAGUCGGUUCCCUGUCAAUGCAAACAUUUCUAACAAUAUCUUGACUAGCAGGAAUUAGAGCACUAUGAGCCAAGUGGUGGUGAUUAGAGAAAAGGGCUUGGAGGGAAGGGUUGGUGUUUGAGUUUUGAGGAACAGAUGGUUUAAGUUGAGGUAUAGAGUGAACAUAAUCAUUCAAAUGUUUUGGAGGUUUGUGACAUCUAGUGGAUUUCCUAGGUUCAGUUUGUGGAAGAGCAUGAGGUUGGUUAACAGAUAGGGGUGCAGGAGGUAGAGAAGGAGAAGGCAUGGAUGCAGAGGGAUUAGGUGACAAGUCACAUGUAGCAGUAGAACCAUUUGAACUAUUUAGAGUAUCCUGUGUGCCAUUUUUAACAAAAACAUCCAAAAUAUCAAUGAAAUAAGGUGACUGCAACAAUGAAAUAGGGGAAACAGUUGUAGUUGCAGGGGCAUUAUUAAAAGGAAAAAUAUUUUCAUGAAAAACAACAUCUCUGGAAAUAUGUAUUUUACCGGUAGACAUAUUUAGGACUUUGUACCCUUUUGUCUCAUGAGGAUAUCCAAUGAAAAAUAUGAGGAGUAGUUCUUGGUUCAAACUUAGCUCUAUGAGGUAUGGGUACAGUAGGAUAACAAAGACAUCCAAAACUUCUCAUGUGUGAAUAGAGGGGUUUUCUGUGGUAUAAAAUUUCAUAGGGACAUUUUUUGUUCAACACAGUGGAUGGGAGCCUAUUUAUUAUGUAUGUUGCACAGAGAAUGCACUCUCCCCAAUACUUAACAGGAAGUUUAGACUGAAACAACAGUGCUCUAGCAGUCUCAAGAAGGUGUUUAUGUUUUCUCUCCACCACACCAUUUUGUUGUGGUGUAUAGGGACAAGUUUUCUGGUGAAGUAUACCUUUGGUUUGAAAAUAAAAGGUUGCCUCUGUAUUGAUAAAUUCCAGACCAUUGUCUGUUCUGAUUGUUUUGACAGUGGUUUCAAAUUGGUUUUCUACCAUAGCAAUGAAGGCUUUGAGAGUUUGUAAAGCAUUGCUCUUAGUACUUAACAACUGAGUCCAAGUGGACCUACUAAAGUCAUCCACAAUAGUGAUGAAAUAUUUAAAGUGGUUAUGUGUUGGUGUAUGAUAAGGCCCCCACAAGUCAACAUGAAGUAAUUCAAAAGUGUGUGAGGUUAGUGUGGUUCGUGGUUUAAAAGGUAGUCUUUCUUGUCUUGCCAUAGGGCAAAUGGAACACAUAAAAGGUUGCUUGGCUGAGAACUUCACAGGGAUGGUGGAAAUAUCUCUCAUUUUGACAAAAGGGACAUGUCCCAAUCUAUUAUGCCACACAAUGUCUACAUGAUUUCCAGCACAUGUUUGAGAACUAGAAGUACAAGAAACUGGACAUGGAAUAGAACAUGACAUUUCUUUAUUGAGAAUAGGAGUACAUUGCUUGUUAUCUAAAGUCUGAAUAGACUGUCUGUUACUACAGUUAUUGCAAGAAUUAUUUGGAAUGACACUACUACAUUUUGAAACGUUGAAAGAGUUCUUCAAACAACUUGGACACAGGAAGUAUAGACCCUCUUCUGCACUACCAAUCACCAGAGGCCUCUUCAUUGAAGGGGCCUGCAUGAAACAAGAAGUUUUGGUGAAGCUAACAGUGUAUUUUGAGUGAACAGUCAGAGUAUGAAUAGAAAUCAAGUUAUAUUUAAAAGAUGGCACAUACAGAACUUUAUCUAAAUUGAUCAUGGGCCCUAAUGUCACACUACCAACUUGAGUCACCUUAACUUUGUAUCCAUUAGGCAAGGCAACUAACAAAGGAUAUGGUAAAAGUGUGAUGUUGUGUAGUAGAGAUAUAUUAAAAGUCAUGUGGUUUGAGGCUCCCGAGUCCAAUAUCCAUGAGUCAGAUUUGUUUUUGAAACAAUUACAUGACAGUUUUCCAAAAUCAAUAGAGGAAGUGCAGACUAUGAUACCUGCAAAAUCAGUUGCUGGUCCAUUAGCAAGGUUUGGAUUGUUGUUGGAUCCCUCAUUCUCAUGUUCCCUGUGGAAUUGCUGAAGCAUGCCUUGAACAUGACCAUAUUGGUCUUUGGUAAGGCUCACAUUGUACAUCUCCUCAUCUAAUCUUUUGCCAGGGGUAAAGUCUGGUGUGCAAUUAGCAUUUGCUACAACAUUAUUGCCAGAUCCUUUGUUGGUCCUCUGAUUUCCCUUGCGAAAAGUAUUAGGCCUCGGAGUUGGAUUGUUUCUUUGAUUUGGGCUUGGGUUGUUUGAACUAGUUGGAUAUCCAUAAAGUUGAUAACACUUCUCAAUAAGAUGACCAGUCCUGUUGCAGUAAGUGCAGAAUUUGUCCUUGUAUUGAAGCUGAGAGUGACCACCAGUAGGAGCAUAGUUUGUCUUGUAGGAUAAAGAAGGCCUGACAUUUGAUAAAGAAGGCCUGACGUUUCCAGCAUGUAAAGCAGUAGCUUCUACAUUAAAAUGGUUAGAAGGCUUAAUUUCCCUCUGGUGUUCAUCCUGGACUAACAGAGAAAAGGCCUGAGCCAUAGUAGGCAGCGGAUUCAUCAUAAGUAUGCUCCCACGAAUAACUGUGUAAAUCUCGUUCAACCCCAUGAGAAAUUGGAUUAACCUUCUAUCUUGUUCUGCUUUGUGAACAAGUGUCUUUGCUCCGCAAGUGCAGUUGCAAGUGCAUUGAGCUUUGGCAUUCAAAGUACUAAGCUCUUCUCAGAGCUUCUUCAAUUUGGUGUAGUAACAUGUGAUAUCAAGAGAGCCUUGUGACAAGUCGUUAAUUUCUCUUUGGAUCUGAUACAACUUCGCACCAUUUGUUUGUUCAUAUCGAUCUUCAAGUUCUUUCCAUAAUUCUGCAGAAUCCUGGACAUACUCAACACUAUCAGCAAUUUCCUUAGAUAGAGAAUUCAGGAUCCAAGAGGUAACGAUAUCAUCACAUCUUUCCCAUUGUCUGUACGAUGAGUCAUUGGAUUGAGGGCGUGGGCAAUCCCCAUUAAUGAAGCCCAACUUGUUCUUCACUGAAAGUGAUCUCAGAACACUACGCCUCCAGGAACGAAAACCAAUUUCAGCAAAUUGAACUGGUACAAGCAUUGCUCCGGGGUUAUCAGAAGGAUGCAUGUAAAAAGGGUGAUUGGAAUCAAUUGUGUUGUUGGUGGAACCACCAGAUUGAUCAGAAUUCGCCAUAGAUGAGCAGAGAAGGAGAAAACGAACAACAAAAGAGAUCUACGCAAUUGCAGAUCAGAUCGUAAAAGGAUGAGUACCUCAGAAUCGAGAUUGCUCUGAUACCAUAUCAGAAUUGAUGCAUUAACACUGUUCGAGUUUGAAACAAUGGAAGCCUUGACUACAAUCAGUAAAGAAGAAGAGUAGAAAAGAUAACUUGUAACUUGUAGAAUGCAAAGCUUGAAUGAUUCUAUUUCAUCAGUGAAGUAUAUAUACACAUCAGCUGGAAGCUUCUAGACUAUUACACUUUGAGCUAACUAACUAUACACAUUGAAUACAUGAGCUAACUAACUCUCUAACCAAUUCUAUAACUAACUAUGUGAGCUGUACAAUGCAAUACGUGAGCUGUGCAAUAUAAUACUUAAUAUGGUGAAUAUGAACAAAGGUUUUAUGAUUAUUAUUAGAUUAUCGUUAUUAGACGAGAAUUUGAAGAGAACGAGUUUUCACUGGUAGUGUUAGGUUGACAUCUGGUGAUUAAUGGCGAUAGGUGGUUGAAUUGUGAUUAAUUUCUGAGUGGUGAUGUAAGGAAAUUAUGUAGUGCAAGGGUAGUAAUAUGGAUUGUCGUUAAACUGUAAGGGAAAUUGUGGGUAGUGAUUAUUGUUGCCUUGGGUUGAAUAAUUGGGUGAAAACUUUGGUGGAGACAAACUUGUCUCCAUGUUCAUUAUUUGAUUAAAUUAUUGUUAAGUACUAAAACAAUAGGUGGCAAAUUAUUGUCUAUUGAGUUUAGUGAGUGGAUUGCAGGCGAAAACUUUAUAAACUUGAAUGGUCACUGUCAUGUUCUGAUAAUUUUGAAAUGGCUUUCGUGUGUUUGCUGCCACUGGUAUCGUGACCAGUGGCUUCAGUUUUACCAUAUUAUAAACUAAAAUUUGAUAUAUUGAGAUAGAGGUAAUUAAAUAUAAGGUGUAGUAUAUUAUAUGAAUUACAUUAAAGUUAUGCUAAUUGGAGGAAUUAAGACUUACCCUUAGGUUUGAACUUUAGGAAGUUGAUUAUAGAAUUAGGUGAGUUUUUGGGUAUAGGCUGGACAUAGAAUAAUAUGAGUGUUUAUAGGCUUGUUAACUUACAAAGUAUGCAUAUAUACUUGAUAGAUUGAAAAGGUUCGGAGGCAUUGAGGAAAGGAAAGGCAUUGAAGAAGUAGCUUGCCUGACGUUAGUUCUUCGGUGGAGGUAGGUUAUGGUUUAUUCUAUUUCGAUAGUUAGACUCUUAAUAGUGACUAAUAUGUAUUGAGUGAUAUUGUGAAGUUCUCUAUGUAUUUGAUUGUGUGGUUUUGUGUGCUUGUGUGGUUUGGUUGUAUGGUUUGUGAUUGGUCUAAAAUCCUGAAAUCGUAAAAUUUAUAAUCUGAAAUCCUCUCUAUCGAAGUGAUGCCUUGAAUAAAGAAGGCUUGAUGAAAUAAAUUAACGGUAUAAUUGGAUCGGAGUGUCACGUUCCGACACGGUAUUUUUGGAUCGGAGUGUCACGUUCCGACACGGUAUUUUUGAGAGUGUCACGUUCUGAUACGGUAUAAUUGGAUCGGAGUGUCACGUUCCGACAUGGUAUAAUUGGAUCGGAGUGUCACAUUCCGACACAGUAACAUUAAAGGAAAAAGAUAUUGAAUUAACUUAAUGUACUCAAUCUCAAAGAACCCAUUUCUCAAAUGAGCGUGGUGUGGAGGCAUGAGUCCCCAUAUGUGUGCUUGAUAUUGUGAUUGAUUGCGUACUUACUUUAGUAUUGUUGUCACUGGUUCAUGUUGUUCGUUGCUUGCCACCUGCUAAGUGUCAUAGUUGAUUUUAUCCUAUUAUUCACUAUAUAUUAGUUUCUAUUUUGGGUUGUCCGAUGAUUCCUACUCAGUACGUGUUCCUUGUACUGACCCCUACUUGUGUUUUCUUCGUUUUUCUUUUGUGGAGUGCAACAAGUGUACCAUCGACUUUGACUCGCCCUCAGCCCUAGCCAGUCUCCAGCACAUCAGAUUUCAGGGUGAGCUAUUCCUUCUAGCUCGUGCUGGAUUCUCUCAGUCAUGGCAUGAUGUCCUUAAAUUUCGGACAUGGACCAUCAUAUUUACUUUUUGGGGUCUCUAAUACUUUUAGACUUGGUAUUUUAAAAACAGAUGUCCUUGAUGUGAUGACUUUCAGGUUUUGAGGAUAAUGUAUAAUAGACUUUAGAGGUUGAUUUGAUUGGUUACUUUAACAAGUUUUGAGCUCCGCAUUUUACUAUUAUUCGUAGUUGAAUUAUUGAUUUAUGUUGGGGUUUAGAUUCCUUGGUUCGCCCACUUAGGAAGUUAAGUGUGGGUGCCACUCACGACUCGUUUUGGGUUGUGACAAUACAUUAGCCAUUAAAACUUAGAGAACUCACUAUGACCCCCUCAAAGCCUACUCGUGCAAUGCAUGGAUGACAUCCCAUACUACCACCCACACUUCAUAGAACUCAUCAAGAAACCAUAAUGCACAUCUCACAUGAUGAGAAUAUGCAUUAACCAACAUAGACCAUGAGAGCUAACCAUGGAAUCCGGUGUCAUAUGGCCCCACACCGUAAAAAUGUGGUCUACUUACCUAAGGUAGGGCAUGUAACAUUUUAGCUUGGAUGGAAAUCCACUAGCUAAUAUCCUAUGUGGGCACAUAGUUAUGGGAUAAAAAGAUGUUCAUUGGAACCCUAGCCUAACAUUGGGAGAGUUUUCAUCUUACCAUAUCCACUCGGUGCUUAGCCUCCAUUCCCAUAGAGUAUUCAUUUUCAUUACAUUAUUGUGCUUGAGAGGAAUGCCAUUGGCCUAUCGACCCAAGACACCUCAUUACACAUGAAAGGAAUGCCAUAAGCCUAUAGAUUCAUGGUACAUUACAUGGAUAGCUCAUUGAAUCCUCAAGAAGGGCCACCAACAUUAGGUCUAUCAAUACAAGGUUCAUCAUUUCACACAUGAAAGGGCUACCAACACUAGGACUACCGAUUCAAGGUUUAUCAUCACAUUAGUUUCUAGACCCAUCAUGAAGGGCCACCAACACUAGGUCUACCGGUUCAAGACAUAGUCUAGAAUACUUCAUCAUUUAUUUAUGAAAGGAAUACCAUAAGCAUAUCGAUUCAUAUCCAUCAAGUCAAUACACAUUCAUUACACAAGAGAUGAUGCCUAAUUCUACCAACUCAAGGUUCAACAAUCAACUAUACUUACAUUCAUUUAAGAAGAGGAUGCAUAAGCCUACCAAUUCAAGAUACAUCAUCACAUUACUUUCAUCUAUACAAGAAAAGGAUACAUAAGCUUACCAAUUCAAGAUAUACAAUACAUAGAAGGAAAUCCUUCACAUUCCAUCAUCCAUCAUUCAUGAGUGUUAAUUGAGAAUAUGCUUUCAACAAUAACACAAUUACAUUCUAAACAUGAUUAUCAUACUAUCAUUGAAUUCACACCUACAUACUUCACAUCAUAGUCAUACAUAGAUCCUUCAUGAACUUGCCUUUCAAGCCUAUGAACCAACAUCAGUCCAUAAAUCUAAGAUACUACAAUAGAUAAUUAAAUUGACAUGAUUCAAUCAUUACUUCAAUAUAAACAUAAACAAUUCAACAUACUUCAACAAUCAAUCAAUACCAAUCUCAAAUCACAACUUAGAAUUUUGGGGGAAAACAUGGGUUCUAGGAAGAAAUCAUCUUAAUUUAUCUUUAAAUCCACAAUUCAUUCAUAAUUCAAUGCAAUAAAGCCUUUGAAAAUCGUUUGGAAUCGAACCCAUGCCAAGAUUGAAAACUAGGAUUUUGGGGAAAAUAUGGGAGACUCAAUCACUUUUGAAAUUGGCUCCUUGAAAGAAACUAAGUCAAGGAUGAAGAUCACCAUACCUUUUAUGGAAGGAAUCCACGAAAAUCCCUUGAAAAACUUGAAUUCUUGACCUUGGAAGCUUGAAUCCUUCACCUCCAUGGAGGUUUCUAGAGAGAGAACUUUUGAGAAGAGAGGUGAGUUCUAUUUGGAUUUUGAAAUAAUGAAUUGGAAAAUAGAGUUUAAUACUUUUAAUACUCUUAAAAUACCAUAAUUAACCCAAAAUAACCGUCCCCUCACUUAACUAAAUUAAUUAGCAAUUUACCAAACCACCAACCCACGAAUCGUGGAUUGGGUCACGCCCCGUCUUGGUCAACCGUGGUUCAUGGUUGUGGCUUGGUUUUGGGGGCCUUGACCUUCGGAGGCAAUCCAUGGGGCGUGGAUGGACCUACGGGGCGUGGUCCUCUUCCGUAGGUCACCAUAUUUUUAGGCAGUUUUGGUUUUCUUUGGGGUCUUGAGGUUAGGCUCUAGGGUCCUCCUCAAGGACCCCUAGGGUGGUCCUUGGGGAGUCGUACCUUGACACUUAAUCCCUAAACCCCUCAACCAUAGCUCGGGACAACAUUUUGCAACAAGAAACCUUACAACAACUCAAACACACACUAGUUAGGCUCUAGCUUCACCUAUUCGUUUUACGGGUCGUUACAAAUCUCUUAUUCCCAUAAUAAUGAAAUAAAUUAAUGAAUGUCAAGUACUCUGUGGGGAAUAAUGCUAAGCACUGAGUGGAUAUGGCUUGAGAUGAGUUCUUAUCUGUGAGUUGAUGCGGGGUAUCUAGUAGCAAUCUCUUGAGAUGGAUGCUCAUCCGUGAGUUGAGGCGGGGUGUCUAGUAGCAAUCUCCCUAUCCCAUAACUAUGUGCCCACAUAGGUUAUUAGCUUGUGGAUCCACCUAAGCUAAAAGUAAUGUUCCUACCUUAGGCAAGUAGGAAUCCCUUAUCGGGUGUGGGUAACACCGAGAUUUGAUGAAUUUGCUCACAUGGUCUAUGUCGGUUAAGGCUUACCUCUAUAAAGAAUGAUAAUGAACUAUGGCUUCUCAAGAAUGCACUACUUAGUGUGGGUGGGGUUAUGGGACUUCAUCCAUACAUUGCACAAGUAGGCUUUGAGAGGGGCUAUGAUGUGUUCCUCUAAUGUCUUAAUGUCUAAUGAAUAAAUGUGCUCUUAAUGAAGCUAAUGAGAAUGUUGACUUAAAGUCUUAUUGUAAAGAUGCAUGCUUUACUUGAAUUGUAUUAUGAGUUACUUUCCUUGUCAUGACUUAUGAAAUGUGAAGGUUCCUUAUGCAUGAGUAUUCUCUAAAAAAUGAGUUUGAGUAAGUUCAUCUAUGGUGGCCUCAAGGUGGUACUUAGUAGGGAUAGUAGUAUGGGAUACUAUUCUUACAUUGCACAAGUAUAGCCUAAGGUUACCUAAGGUGACGGCUCUAAUAUGUUAAAAUGACUUAUAUGUUGAAUGUGAUUGUAUCUUAUGCCUCUUAUGCUUAAGUUCAUGAAGUUUUCUCAAAUUGGCAUAUGACAUGAUUUUCAAAUAAAAUGUCCUUUUUAAGCAUGGUUUUUGCAUGGCUAUCAUACUUAGUACAUUAAAUGUGUUAACCAUAUUUCAUCUAUUUUUCUACAAAGUGUAGGUUCCGACAUUUGAGUUGCUUCCUUCUAGUCAAAGGGCUUGGAUUGAUUUCCCUCCAUAGCUUGUGGUAUGUCCUCAUGGAUCCGAGGACAAGUGCUUUAUUGAUGUUUCAUGUCUUUCAUUGUACUAGAUACUUCUUAGACUUUCUAUUGUAAAGAGUCGUGACCCUACUUUUGAUUCAAAGAUGUUUUUAUAUGGCCAUGUCAGACAUGCUAUGAGGCAAGUAUAAGGCUUCGGAGUCUUGUACACUGUGUUACGUCCGGGGUAUAUUGUCUCAGGUCGUAACAGUUUGGAUUAAAAUUACAAAUUUGGAGCUUCGAAGAACCCAAAUUAAAAUUUGCCAACCGAAUUAACCUUGUGGAUUGACCAUGUACAAGAUGAUUAACAACUCCAAUAAUAUUGAUAAAGAAAAGAAUAAGGAAAAUAAAAAAUAAUUAAAAAUAAAUAAAUAUAUAUAUAUAUAUAUAUCUUUUUGGUGCUCACUCUCUCAGGGAGAGUGAAAUACACUCACUUCGCCACAUAAGCAUUUAGGGAGAUGAUAAUUUCAAUUUUAAACAGUUCAGGAGGGUGAUAGGACCCCCGUGAAGUUUGAGUGUGUAGUUGAGAAUUCGGUAAUAGAUUGUGAGGCAUUUGUUCGUUUUCUCAUUAUUAAUUCAUAUAUGAAUAAUCAUAACGUAUCAUGACCCCUUAUUUUUUAGAGCAACUUUCACAUUUUCCUAUUUUUUAUUAUAGCAUAGUAACUAAAUAUUACUUCUUUGUAUCAUAUUAGUUGUAAGGUUAUUAAAUGAUAUAUAUACUUGUCUCAAUUUACUCUCUCUGUCUUACAAUUGGUGUUUAAUUUUUUUUACUUGUUCAUUCAAACAAAACAAUCCGCUUUGCAAAAAUAGUUUAUAAAGUUUGGCUUGAGACAAAUGUCAUGUAUUCUAACGUAAAAUCCAGUUAAAAGAGGCCUUAUUUCAUACUCUACCGAUAAGUAAGGGGCAAUAGGAAACUAUUUGUUCUUCGUAGGAAUUAUAUUUUUUAAGAUGACUUAGGAUACUUUAAGGAAAAUGCGAGGAGCAAGAUGUUAGUUAUCCUGGUUUUAAUUAUUUCAUGAUAAAUUAUUCUGGAAUAAGUUAUUCCAUCGUUUAUAUGAAAUAAUUUAUUACAAUACUAAGGUAUAAAUAAUUCAAGAAUUAUCUAAAACUUCCAAUCAAAUACAAGAUAAAAUAAUCAUACAUUUUUUUAUGAGAUUAUUAUACCUACACCUCACAUCAAACAAAUCCAUAUUAAUAAAAAUGGUAAGUAAAUUACCAAAAAGAUAAUAUAUUCAAAAAAUAUGAUUAAUCAGGUUAAUUUAAUAAAAUAAAAUAUAGUAAUUUUUUUUCUUAAAUGAUAUGCCAAGUUAAUAUUAUUGACACUCCAUGUUGACCUGAUACUUUUUCAAAAUUGGCACUUUAAAGUUUUUAUUUAAAUACUUUAAAAUGCAUUUUUGCAAUUUUAAUUUGUUUUAUUGAUAAUAAUUCUUAUUUAUAAACAUUAACAUUUUUAUAACUCUAACAAUGAUUUUCUCAAUUGAGCAAAUACGUCCAUAGUGACUAUCAAUUUAUUUUAAAUUUCAUUUAAUUUUAAUCAUUAUUAUUUUUGUCACAAUCCAUUGAAUAUAAAUAAAACAUUAUUUCAAUUUCACUAAAUCAUCAUUUUCUUUCAAUUGUUAUAAUUAUUUAUUAAUAAUUUUUUUAUUAGCAAAGUUUAUAUAGCCCAUGAUUUUGUAAAAAUAUAAUUUUAAACUAGUAAACUUAGCCGCGCUAUGUGCGGUGUGAAAAAGUUUUAAAGAUAUUUUUAAAAUUUUUAAAUCCAAAUAAAUUAGAUAACAAAUUUUAACACAUAAAUUUGUAAUUUUAACUUGAUAUAUGAGAUAUUGAUUUCAUAAAAAAAAAAUCCUUAAAUAAGCACCGUCUAAUAGCUAUUAUUUUGUGUUAGUUAUAAUAAUUGAAAAUUUAUGACUUUAUUAUCCAUUCGAAUGAGUUCUUUUAUAGAGUUAUGACAUAGUAAUAAGAAUAAAAAUAAUAAAUUUAUGAGAAAAAGGAAGGAAGAUAUACAUUUGAUAGUAGAUUAACAAAAUAAGGAUUUAGACAUUACCGUAAGGAUUAACUUAAAUUUUGCUUCCAUUAAAAUCAUGUAAUUUUCUUAAGAAUUGACAUUCAAAUUAGCAUAAAAAUAGUAAAUUUAUGGAGAAAAAAAGAGAUAAUUUCAUAGUCUUCUCUUCAAAUUUGGCUUUAUAACACUCACCUCUUAAUAUUAUUCUAUUACAUUUACCUACCUUAUUUCAAUUUUUCUUGUAAUCCUUCAAAUUUGGCUUUAUAAUACUCACCUCUUAAUAUUAUUAUAUUACAUUUACCUACCUUAUUUCAAUUUUCUUGUAAUACUUCUAAGUAAAUACAAAUAUAGAUUAUUGUUCAAAAUUAUAUAUUUGGACUAAUAUGUUGCUCAAAAGCAACUUAAGAAUCUCAAACAAAGAAUUUUCUAAGCAGCAUCAUACAUAUUGAUAGAAUUUUCAUCUAGAUUCCUAGAUAUUUAAAUAAAAUAUUUGAUAAAGUAAAUAAAUGAUCAAUCUUACAUCUCUAUAAGAAGAGUACUAUUAAAACCCCCUUUUUUUUUAUUUUAUGAAAUUGCCCUUAUUUCAACCUAUUUCAGUAGUUGCCUUUAUUGUGGAUAUAAAACAUAGGUUUUAGUUGUUCAUCAGUGAUGAAUCAUCAAUUUUUUCCCCUUUUUAAAAAAAAUCAAAUUGGUGGAAGAAACUAUUAGGCCUCUUCAAUAAAUGGAAAGGUGUAAAUUUGAAGAGAGAAAUUAUUGGAAAAAAAUAUAUUAAAACCUCACAAAAAAAUAUAUUACAAUGUUAGACAUGGAGAGAUUCCAAAAAAAUAAAUUAAAAUCUCACAAAAAAAUAUAUUACAAUGUUAGACAUGGAGAGAUUCCGCAUCACCUUAUUUAUGUGUUGAUUUAUUAUAGACGUAGAUAUUUUUUCCCUUAUGAUUAUUUAUUAUAUAAAUAAACGGUAGAUGAAUAUUAAUUUGAAGAGAGAAAUUGUUGGGAAAAAAAGUCCAAAAUCUCACAAAAUAAUAUAUUACAAUGUUAGACAUGGAGAGAUUCCGCAUCACCUUAUUUAUGUGUUGAUUUAUUAUAGAUGUAGAUAUUAUUUUUUCCUUAUGGCUGUUUAUAUAAAUAAACAGAUUAAUCAAAGAAAAAAAAAUCAUAAUCUUUUAAAUUUUUUAAGAGAUAUGGUAAAUACUAAAAGAGACAAAAAAAAAGAUAUUACUCUCACACACAAAAAUAAUAAUCAUUAUGCUUUAACAGAGAAGUCAUGUUAUCAUUCUAUUCAAAGUAUAAAUUUACAAUGAAGAAAAGAUAACUAUUCUUGCCUAAUAUUAAUACUUAGCCAUCAAAAAUGUAAGUGUUACAAUUUUUUGUUGGCAAAAUGGCAAAAUUUGAUAACAAAACAAUAUGAUGAAAAUCAAUAUGUUACCACGUAAGGCAAAUCACGAAUAAAAAUUAAUAAUUCAAGCUUGCCUAGAAAGAAAAAAAAAUAGUCCAAUGAGAAUAAAUUGAACAAUUGAGAUUUUCCUUUCUCCCUUCUCUUAAACUUAAUAUGGUAAUGCUAACAUUUUUUUCACCAAUAAUAUAUAUCCCACAUUAAUAUAAAAAAAAAACAAAAAACAAAUCAAUAACCUUAAAAAGAAAAGAAGGAAAUGAAUUGUAAAAUUUUGAUACUACAUACAAGGUCUACAAAAAUAUAUAGAUUAAUUGAGUUAAAAGGAGUGAUUUCUUUAGUUUACUCUUACAAAUAAAAUAAAUAGUUAUUGUUGUUGUCAUUGUUAUUGUUGUUGUUCUUAUUUUUAUUCUUAUUCUUAUUGUUGUUGUUCUUAUUUUUAUUCUUAUUCUUAUUGUUGUUGUUCUUAUUUUUAUUCUUAUUCUUAUUGUUGUUGUUCUUAUUUUUAUUCUUAUUCUUAUUGUUGUUGUUCUUAUUUUUAUUCUUAUUCUUAUUGUUGUUGUUCUUAUUUUUAUUCUUAUUCUUAUUGUUGUUGUUCUUAUUUUUAUUCUUAUUCUUAUUGUUGUUGUUCUUAUUUUUAUUCUUAUUCUUAUUGUUGUUGUUGUUGUUGUUAUUAUGGAUUAAUAAAAGGAGUGAAAUUUUCUGUGUUAUGUCAUUUUCUAUACCUAAUUUUAUAUUAUAUAGAGAUAGGGAUUUAGAUAUAGAUCUAUAGAUUGUUAGUGGAAAAAAAUAAUAAUAAAUGAGAGAAACUGUCUCUUGUCUUUGUUUCUUUUCCUAAGGUCUCUUUGAAUAGUAUGUUAUGAUUGAUAUUUUUUCUUUACCCUCAAAUAGAAAUUAAGCAAACAUUGAAAAGGAUGCCAACAAAAAGUGAAAAAAGAAUUGAAACGAAAAAAAUUAAUUAAAUACAUAUAUUGAAUAUAUCUUCACCUUAUUCCUCUCUAAAACUUUAAAGCAUGAAGCUUCUAAUUAUUUUCUUCAUCGUCGUUACUUCAGCUCAUAUAGAAUUGAGUAUUGUGGCCAUUCUCCUACAAAAUCAAAUACAAACUUUUUCAUAAUUUUAAACAAAAAAAAAUAACAUAAAGCAAACAAAAUCAAAUACAAUUUUUUUCAUAAUUUUGCACAAAAAGAAAUCACAAAAAGCAAAAAGAGAAGAGAAAAAAAAUAAAGAGGCAAAGAAGAAGAUGCCAACCCAAAAACUCCAACAAAUUAUUUGAAUUCAUACGCCUCUUUUAUUUUUAUAAUAUUUAUAUCAAUACAUGAUCGCAACAAAUCUGUAAAUAUCAUUUACAUUUUCUUUCAUGAUGAAUAUUAAAAGUGAUAAAUUAAUACGAAUUUUUGUAACAACAGAAUUGCAUAUGAAAAGGUGGGAUAGUAAUAACUACUCUUGAUAUACCUUAAUUGUAUGCAUUAAAUUUUGCUAUAAUAUCAUAAAUUACUGGGCUGGGUCAUUAUAGUUAUGGACGUGGGCUGGGCUUUACUACAAUUUAAUACUAUCUUAAUUUAAUAGGUGUCAUGUGAGCGAGAGCUAAACAAUUAAAUUGUGGGUAUUUGUUAUUUCAUUUAUUAAGCUAUUAUAUGAAUGGGAAAUUAGGAGAAAAAUCCAAAAAUAAAUGAGAGAAAAGAUAACUGCAAAUGGUGGCCUUAGAAGCAUGCACAUCAAUUGUCUCAUUAUUCAACUUUUAUAUAUAUAGAUUACCUCUAUAAAUUGGGUGAAACCCUAAAAUCUAGCCCAUUUUUUGCUGUCAACGACCGCCGCCGAAAACCCCUCUUCAUCCACUGCCGGACCACCACGGAACCCCAUUUCUUACCCUCUUCUCCGACCCACUAGAAAACCAACCAGCCACUAGUAACCAUCCAUCCCAGUCAUUUUCCCGGCGAGCUCGCAGCUCAACUCCAGCCACGAGCUACCACCAAAUACACCACCGCGAACCUCACUGUUUCCCUCCCUCACCCCGUUACUCCGUCUCUGGCGCAGGACCGCGAACUAGAAACUUCGGCAAAUCAGAUGCGCUACUGGCCAGAAACGAUCAGAUCCAGCGUUCUCCGGCGAUCUAUGUAUCACUCUCUCUUUUUAAGUUUUAUUUCUUCUCUGUUCUAUGGUUGCAAAUUAUUUGAUAGUAUUAUUUUCUAGGUGGAUUAAUUGUUCCAGUGAUUUUCUGUGUUGUUUAGUUUUAUUUUAUUUAUUUAUGUGUUAAUAUAUUUGCUUUUGUAUAGAUCUGUUCAGAGCUGUUAAAAUUCUCAAUCAUUUUUGUGGUAGAUUUUUUCUAUAUUAUAUUUUCCGCCAAUUAUUUGCACUAUGCUGUUGAAAAUAGUGCACAAAUAUAAUAAACAUGAAAUAUACGUAAAUACUAAAUUAAAUCAUUAAUAUAAGAAAUGGCUUAAUAUUUGUGUAAAAUAUAUACAUAAACAAUAAUAAUGAAUUAAAAUAUUAUUCGAAUGUCUUUCGAAUUCGUUGGAAAAUAAUUUUGAGUACUUGCGAAUACACU